AAAAAAGUUAAUGAAAAUAAUUACGAAAAUACAAUGAAUAGCGAUAAUUACAAUCAUGUAAUUUUUCUUUCCAAUUAUAAGGUAACAGGUGUAGUUCACGGGGGUUACGGGACUUACCCAUCAGGUGGGCGGUGCUCAGCAGCCCCAGAUCCGGGUCCCUGUAGGGGUUCCUGCUCCAGGUGGUACUUCGAUCCCUCGGAAUAUAAAUGCAGGAAGUUUACGUACGGGUGUUGUGGAGGCAACAGGAAUAAUUACCGGAGUCAGGAGAGCUGUCUCGAUACAUGCAAUGAUGGUCUGGUUUAGAAUAGAAUAAAAUAAAAAUAGAAUAGAUGAAUAGAUUAGGUACUGUAAGUGGUUAUAAUUUCGCGGUGCUAAACGUUCGCGGUUUUUCAUAUUGGUCUAAUUGCCGUGGUUUUAUUUUAUUUUUUAUUUUUAAUUUAUUUAUUUUUUAUUUUCGCGAAAUUCAAUUACAAAUUGAUUACUGGUAACUGUUAAAAACGUAUUGUGUCACACUUACAAAAUGAUUACGGUUAUUUUAAUUUCGCGGGAAAAUCCCCGACCGCAAACAUAGCGAAAUUAAAACCACCGCAAUCAUUUUCCCAUUUACAGUAGUCUGGACUGGACCAAAUGAAGCACGAUAGGUUGUCUCAGUCUCGGUAUUAACAAUAGCCACUAUUUCCUAAAUACUUUGGGGUGUAACUAACUGAUAUACAGUGUAUACUAAAGUGUUAUUCAUGGAGUAUUUUAGAAUGUAACCAAUUGCUUUUUAUAUAUAAGUUUAGGGUAUAGGUAACUGAUAUGUAUUCAAUAUUUUAGAAUGCUAGUUGUGGAGUAUUUCAAGGUGUAACCACUGAUACAUGUAUCGAUUCAAUACUUUAGGAUGCCCUGACGGUACUAACCCGGACUCAGUGCGCUGCAUUGUGGGAGCUUGUACAAUCCAAACCUGUCCAAACUUUCCCAGAGCGACAUGCAUUUCCAGGUGCAAUUCCUGUUUCUCACAGUUCGUAUACAGGGGCUGGGAUGUGGCAGAGAAAUGUCACAGGAAGUGACGCUGCAGUAACCCGUAUGAUACAGUACAA